AGCGAACGCUGGCGGCAGGCCUAACACAUGCAAGUCGAACGAAGUCUUCGGACUUAGUGGCGGACGGGUGAGUAACACGUGGGAACGUACCUUUUGGUUCGGAACAACUCAGGGAAACUUGAGCUAAUACCGGAUGAGCCCUUAGGGGGAAAGAUUUAUCGCCGAAAGAGCGGCCCGCGUUAGAUUAGCUAGUUGGUGAGGUGUAAUGGACCCCCAAGGCGACGAUCAGUAGCUGGUCUGAGAGGAUGACCUGCCACAUUGGGACUGAGACACGGCCCAAACUCCUACGGGAGGCAGCAGUGGGGAAUCUUGCGCAAUGGGCGAAAGCCUGACGCAGCCAUGCCGCGUGGAUGAUGAAGGUCUUAGGAUUGUAAAAUCCUUUCACCGGUGAAGAUAAUGACUGUAGCCGGAGAAGAAGCCCCGGCUAACUUCGUGCCAGCAGCCGCCGUAAAAC
rnacentral:rRNA from 1 species